rnacentral:rRNA from 1 species
UACGUAGGGGGCAAACGUUGUCCGGAUUUACUGGGUGUAAAGGGGUGCUCAGGCGGUCUUGUAAGUUAGAAGUGAAAUCCUAGGGCUCAACUCUGGAACUGCUUUUAAUACUGCAAGGCUUGAAUAUGGAAGAGGAGGGUGGAAUUUCUGGUGUAGCAGUGAAAGUGCGUAGAUAUCAGAAAGAACACCAGUGGCGAAGGCGGCCCUCUGGUCCAUUAUUGACGCUAAAGCACGAAAGCGUGGGGAGCAAACAAGG